rnacentral:rRNA from 1 species
GACGAACGCUGGCGGCGUGCUUAACACGUGCAAGUCGAACGGUGAAGCGCUUGCCUUUUUGGUGGGUGUGGAUGAGUGGCGAACGGGUGAGUAACACGUGAGUAACCUGCCCUCUUCUUCUGGAUAACCUCAUGAAAGUGGGGCUAAUACGGGGUAUUCCGGGUCUGUCGCAUGGCGGGUUUGGGAAAGAUUGCGCCUUUGGGUGUUUUCGGUGGGGGAUGGGCUCGCGGCCUAUCAGCUUGUUGGUGGGGUGAUGGCCUACCAAGGCGGUGACGGGUAGCCGGCCUGAGAGGGUGGACGGCCACACUGGGACUGAGACACGGCCCAGACUCCUGCGGGAGGCAGCAGUGGGGAAUAUUGCACAAUGGGCGCAAGCCUGAUGCAGCGACGCCGCGUGAGGGAUGGAGGCCUUCGGGUUGUGAACCUCUUUCGCCAGUGAAGCAGGCCUGCUCCUGUGUGGGUGGGUUGACGGUAGCUGGAUAAGAAGCGCCGGCUAACUACGUG